UACGAAGGGGCUAGCGUUGUUCGGAUUUACUGGGCGUAAAGCGCACGUAGGCGGAUCGUUAAGUCGGGGGUGAAAUCCUGGAGCUCAACUCCAGAACUGCCUUCGAUACUGGCGAUCUUGAGUCCGGAAGAGGUGAGUGGAACUCCUAGUGUAGAGGUGGAAUUCGUAGAUAUUAGGAAGAACACCGGUGGUGUAGACGGCUCACUGGACCAUAACUGACGCUGAGACACGAAAGCGUGGGUAGCAAACAGG
rnacentral:rRNA from 1 species